GAUCCUGGCUCAGAACGAACGCUGGUGGCGUGUCUUAUACAUGCAAGUCGAGCGAGGCAGCAAUGCCGAGCGGCGAACGGGUGAGUAACGCGUAAGCAAUCUGCCCCAUAUCAGGAAAUACCCGUGCCAACGCGCGGUUAAUGUCCAGGAGAGUGGCCUUCCGCAUGGAAGGUUGACUAGAGAUUUAUCGGUAUGGGAUGAGCUUGCGUCCGAUUAGCUAGUGGCGGGGCAACGGCCCACCAAGGCGACGAUCGGUAGCCGGCCUGAGAGGGUGAUCGGCCACAUUGGGACUGAGAUACGGCCCAGACUCCUACGGGAGGCAGCAGUAGGGAAUAUUGCACAAUGGGGGAAACCCUGAUGCAGCAACGCCACGUGUGGGAAGAAGCAUUUCGGUGUGUAAACCACUGUCAUGAGGGAAUAAGGCCCGCCUUCGGACGGACUUGAAUGUACCUUGAGAGGAAGCACCGGCAAACUUCGUGCCAGCCGCGGC
rnacentral:rRNA from 1 species